rnacentral:lncRNA from 1 species
GCAGUAUUGAACCUGUUGCUGCAUUAGCCGAGUUGUAUUUUGCUAGAUAGGGGAAGGAGGGUUGUCUGCUGUCUGGUAGGAGGGCUUUGUCUGUGUGCGCCUUUCUCUCUCUCCCUCUCUCGCUCUCCCUGUCUCUCGCACUCUCGCUCGCUCUCGCUCGCUCUCUCUCGCUCGCUCUCCCUUUCCCGUCUCUGUGGUUUGUAAGCUGCAUAAGAAAGAAGUGUUGAGAGCUGCUCUUAACCCUUUUGGAGGCCUAAGUCAAAAGGGAACUAGAGGGCUUGACGCAUCCUUUACAUCCGGCAUUUACUCUGACCACAGUCCCUCCCUGUUCUCACAAGCGGAGCUCAGCCCUGCUUCCCUUCCUGUUGAUUCCCAGUCAGCUACAUGA